UACAGAGGUCCCAAGCGUUGUUCGGAUUCACUGGGCGUAAAGGGUGCGUAGGCGGUCGGGUAAGUCUGACGUGAAAUCUUCAAGCUCAACUUGGAAACUGCGUCCGAUACUAUUCGGCUAGAGGAAUGGAGGGGAGACUGGAAUACUUGGUGUAGCAGUGAAAUGCGUAGAUAUCAAGUGGAACACCAGUGGCGAAGGCGGGUCCCUGGACAACUCCUGACACUGAGGCACGAAAGCUAGGGGAGCAAACAGG
rnacentral:rRNA from 1 species